UUCGCCCUUAGAGUUUCUUUCUGGCUCAGGACGAACGCUGGCGGCGUGCUUAACACAUGCAAGUCGAACGGAGUACCCUCGAAAGAGAUUUCGGUCAAUGGAGAGGACUACUUAGUGGCGGACGGGUGAGUAACGCGUGAGGAACCUGCCUUUCAGUGGGGGACAACAGUUGGAAACGACUGCUAAUACCGCAUAACGUACUGGUAUCGCAUGGUACUGGUACCAAAGAUUUAUCGCUGAGAGAUGGCCUCGCGUCUGAUUAGCUAGUUGGUAGGGUAACGGCCUACCAAGGCGACGAUCAGUAGCCGGACUGAGAGGUUGGCCGGCCACAUUGGGACUGAGAUACGGCCCAGACUCCUACGGGAGGCAGCAGUGGGGAAUAUUGGGCAAUGGGCGCAAGCCUGACCUAGCAACGCCGCGUGAAGGAAGAAGGCUUUCGGGUUGUAAACUUCUUUUGACAGGGAAGAGCAGAAGACGGUACCUGUCGAAUAAGCCACGGCUAACUACGUGCCAGCAGCCGCGGUAAUACGUAGGUGGCAAGCGUUGUCCGGAUUUACUGGGUGUAAAGGGCGUGUAGCCGGGCUGACAAGUCAGAUGUGAAAUCCGGGGGCUCAACCCCCGAACUGCAUUUGAAACUGUUGGUCUUGAGUAUCGGAGAGGCAGGCGGAAUUCCUAGUGUAGCGGUGAAAUGCGUAGAUAUUAGGAGGAACACCAGUGGCGAAGGCGGCCUGCUGGACGACAACUGACGGUGAGGCGCGAAGGCGUGGGGAGCAAACAGGAUUAGAUACCCUGGUAGUCCACGCUGUAAACGAUGGAUACUAGGAUAGCGGGGACUCACCCCCUGCGUGCCGCAGCUAACGCAAUAAGUAUCCCACCCUGGGGGGUACGAUCGCAAGGUUGAAACUCAAAGGAAUUGACGGGGGCCCGCACAAGCGGUGGAUUAUGUGGUUUAAUUCGAUGCAACGCGAAGAACCUUACCAGGGCUUGACAUCCUACUAACGAAGUAGAGAUACAUUAGGUACCCUUCGGGGACACUGGAGACAGGUGGUGCAUGGUUGUCGUCAGCUCGUGUCGUGAGAUGUUGGGUUAAGUCCCGCAACGAGCGCAACCCUUAUUGUUAGUUGCUACGCAAGAGCACUCUAGCGAGACUGCCGUUGACAAAACGGAGGAAGGUGGGGACGACGUCAAAUCAUCAUGCCCCUUAUGUCCUGGGCCACACACGUACUACAAUGGUGGUCAACAGAGGGAAGCAAAGCCGCGAGGUGGAGCAAAUCCCUAAAAGCCAUCCCAGUUCGGAUCGCAGGCUGCAACCCGCCUGCGUGAAGUUGGAAUCGCUAGUAAUCGCGGAUCAGAAUGCCGCGGUGAAUACGUUCCCGGGCCUUGCACACACCGCCCGUCA
rnacentral:rRNA from 1 species